rnacentral:rRNA from 1 species
CCUACGGGUGGCAGCAGUGGGGAAUAUUGGACAAUGGGCGAAAGCCUGAUCCAGCCAUGCCGCGUGUGUGAAGAAGGCCUUCGGGUUGUAAAGCACUUUCAGUGGGGAAGAAAGCCUUGGGGCUAAUACCCUCGAGGAAGGACAUCACCCACAGAAGAAGCACCGGCUAACUCCGUGCCAGCAGCCGCGGUAAUACGGAGGGUGCGAGCGUUAAUCGGAAUUACUGGGCGUAAAGCGCGCGUAGGCGGUCUGAUAAGCCGGUUGUGAAAGCCCCGGGCUCAACCUGGGAACGGCAUCCGGAACUGUCAGGCUAGAGUGCAGGAGAGGAAGGUAGAAUUCCCGGUGUAGCGGUGAAAUGCGUAGAGAUCGGGAGGAAUACCAGUGGCGAAGGCGGCCUUCUGGACUGACACUGACGCUGAGGUGCGAAAGCGUGGGUAGCAAACAGGAUUAGAUACCCCUGGUAGUC